GGGAUUGCCCUAGUAACGGCGAGUGAAGCGGCAACAGCUCAAAUUUGAAAUCUGGCGCAAGCCCGAGUUGUAAUUUGUAGAGGAUGCUUCUGGGUAGCGACCGAUCUAAGUUCCUUGGAACAGGACGUCAUAGAGGGUGAGAAUCCCGUAUGUGACCGGCCCGCACCCUUUACGUAGCUCCUUCGACGAGUCGAGUUGUUUGGGAAUGCAGCUCUAAAUGGGAGGUAAAUUUCUUCUAAAGCUAAAUACCGGCCAGAGACCGAUAGCGCACAAGUAGAGUGAUCGAAAGAUGAAAAGUACUUUGGAAAGAGAGUUAAAAAGCACGUGAAAUUGUUGAAAGGGAAGCGCCUGCAACCAGACUUCGCGGCAGUGUUCCGCCGGUCUUCUGACCGGUUCAUUCUCUGUCGCGAGGCCAUCAUCGUCUGGGCCCGCCGGAUAAGACCUUAGGAAUGUAGCUCACCUUCGGGGGAGUGUUAUAGCCUAGGGUGAUGCGGCGAGGCUCGGGCGAGGUCCGCGCUUCGGCAAGGAUGAUGGCGUAAUGGUUGUCGGCGGCCCGUCUUGAAACACGGACCAAGGAGUCUAACAUCUAUGCGAGUGUUCGGGUGUCAAACCCCUACGCGUAAUGAAAGUGAACGGAGGUGGGAACCGCAAGGUGCACCAUCGACCGAUCCUGAUGUCCUCGGAUGGAUUUGAGUAAGAGCAUAGCUGUUGGGACCCGAAAGAUGGUGAACUAUGCCUGAAUAGGGUGAAGCCAGAGGAAACUCUGGUGGAGGCUCGCAGCGGUUCUGACGUGCAAAUCGAUCGUCAAAUUUGGGUAUAGGGGCGAAAGACUAAUCGA
rnacentral:rRNA from 1 species